GAUGAACGCUGGCGGCGUGCCUAAUACAUGCAAGUCGAGCGAAUGGAUUAAGAGCUUGCUCUUAUGAAAUUAGCGGCGGACGGGUGAGUAACACGUGGGUAACCUGCCCAUAAGACUGGGAUAACUCCGGGAAACCGGGGCGAAUACCGGAUAACAUUUUGAACUGCAUGGUUCGAAAUUGAAAGGCGGCUUCGGCUGUCACUUAUGGAUGGACCCGCGUCGCAUUAGCUAGUUGGUGAGGUAACGGCUCACCAAGGCAACGAUGCGUAGCCGACCUGAGAGGGUGAUCGGCCACACUGGGACUGAGACACGGCCCAGACUCCUACGGGAGGCAGCAGUAGGGAAUCUUCCGCAAUGGACGAAAGUCUGACGGAGCAACGCCGCGUGAGUGAUGAAGGCUUUCGGGUCGUAAAACUCUGUUGUUGGGGAAGAACAAGUGCUAGUUGAAUAAGCUGGCACCUUGACGGUACCUAACCAGAAAGCCACGGCUAACUACGUGCCAGCCGCCGCUGUAACAC
rnacentral:rRNA from 1 species